GAGGAGAGCAACAGGGAUUGCCCUAGUAACGGCGAGUGAAGCGGCAACAGCUCAAAUUUGAAAUCUGGCCCCCCCGCGGGGGUCCGAGUUGUAAUUUGCAGAGGGUGCUUUGGCGUUGGCUGUGGUCUAAGUUCCUUGGAACAGGACGUCGCAGAGGGUGAGAAUCCCGUAUGUGGCCGCCAGUCUUCGCCGUGUAAAGCCCCUUCGACGAGUCGAGUUGUUUGGGAAUGCAGCUCUAAAUGGGAGGUAAAUUUCUUCUAAAGCUAAAUAUCUGCCAGAGACCGAUAGCGCACAAGUAGAGUGAUCGAAAGAUGAAAAGCACUUUGGAAAGAGAGUCAAAAAGCACGUGAAAUUGUUGAAAGGGAAGCGCUUGCAGUCAGACGUGCCUCUAGUUGCUCAGCCGGGCCUUCGGGCCCGGUGCACUCUUCUAUUGGCAGGCCAGCAUCAGUCUGGGCGGUCGGAUAAAGGCCCAUUAAACGUGACUCCCUCCGGGGAGAGCUUAUAGGGUGGGCGACAUGCGACCAGCCCGGACUGAGGUCCGCGCAUCUGCUAGGAUGCUGGCUUAAUAACUGUAAGCGGCCCGUCUUGAAACACGGACCAAGGAGUCUAACAUCUAUGCGAGUGUUUGGGUGUCAAGCCCGGACGCGUAAUGAAAGUGAACGGAGGUGGGAUCCCUUCGGGGUGCACCAUCGACCGAUCCUGAUGUCUUCGGAUGGAUUUGAGUAAGAGCAUAGCUGUUGGGACCCGAAAGAUGGUGAACUAUGCCUGAAUAGGGUGAAGCCAGAGGAAACUCUGGUGGAGGCUCGCAGCGGUUCUGACGUGCAAAUCGAUCGUCAAAUUUGGGCAUAGGGGCGAAAGACUAAUCGAACUAUCUAGUACUGGUCUGGAAA
rnacentral:rRNA from 1 species